rnacentral:rRNA from 1 species
AACGAACGCUGGCGGCAGGCUUAACACAUGCAAGUCGAACGGGCGUAGCAAUACGUCAGUGGCAGACGGGUGAGUAACACGUGGGAACCUUCCUCGGGGUACGGAACAACUCAGGGAAACUUGAGCUAAUACCGUAUACGCCCCGGAGCGAUCCGGGGGAAAGGAUUCAUCGCCCUGAGACGGGCCCGCGGCCGAUUAGCUAGUUGGUGGGGUAACGGCCUACCAAGGCGACGAUCGGUAGCUGAUCNGAGAGGAUGAUCAGCCACACUGGGACUGAGACACGGCCCAGACUCCUACGGGAGGCAGCAGUGGGGAAUCUUGGACAAUGGGGGAAACCCUGAUCCAGCCAUGCCGCGUGAGUGAAGAA